rnacentral:rRNA from 1 species
AACGAACGCUGGCGGCAGGCUUAACACAUGCAAGUCGAGCGCCCCGCAAGGGGAGCGGCAGACGGGUGAGUAACGCGCGGGAAGCUACCCAUCUCUACGGAGUAACGCAUGGAAACGCGUGCUCAUACCGGAUACGUACGUCGGGAGACGGAUUUUUCGGAGAUGGAUGAGCCCGCGUUGGAUUAGCUAGUUGGUGGGGUAAAGGCCUACCACGGCGACGAUCCAUAGCGGGUCUGAGAGGAUGAUCAGCCACACUGGGACUGAGACACGGCCCAGACUCCUACGGGAGGCAGCAGUGGGGAAUAUUGGACAAUGGGCGCAAGCCUGAUCCAGCCAUGCCGCGUGAGUGAUGAAGGCCCUAGGGUUGUAAAGCUCUUUCACCGGUGAAGAUAAUGACGGUAACCGGAGAAGAAGCCCCGGCUAACUUCGUGCCAGCAGCCGCCGUAACAC